AGCAUUUAUUAGAUAAAAAACCAAUAUAUGUUUUUAAAACAUAAAAUUUGGUGAUUUACAAUAACUAAGCAAAUCGCACAGUGCAAACUGGCGAUAAAUCAUUUAAGUUUCUGACCUAUCAGCUUUCGACGGUAAGGUAUUGGCUUACCGUGGCAGUGACGGUUAACGGGGAAUUAGGGUUCAAUUCCGGAGAGGGAGCCUGAGAAAUGGCUACCACAUCUAAGGAAGGCAGCAGGCGCGCAAAUUACCCAAUUCUAACAGUAUAAGAGAGGUAGUGACAAGAAAUAACAGUACAAGGCAGUUAAAAUGCUUUGUAAUUGGAAUGAUAGAAAUUUAAAUACUUUUUAAAGUAUCAAUUGGAGGGCAAGUCUGGUGCCAGCAGCCGCGGUAAUUCCAGCUCCAAUAGCGUAUAUUAAAAUUGUUGCAGUUAAAAAGCUCGUAGUUGAAUUUUUGCUAAAAAUAACCGGUCUGCUUUUAUUUAUAAAAGUGGUAUCUUGGUGUGUUUUUAGCAAUAAUGUCCUUUGAAAUGUUUUUUACUUUAUUGUAAAAAGCAAUUUUUWGGAUUUUUACUUUGAGAAAUUU
rnacentral:rRNA from 1 species